AGAGUUUGAUCCUGGCUCAGAACGAACGCUGGCGGCAGGCUUAACACAUGCAAGUCGAACGUGAAACCAGGCUUCGGCCUGGCGGAAAGUGGCGCACGGGUGAGUAGCGCGUGGGAAUCUACCCAGCAGUACGGGAUAACUCCGGGAAACCGGUGCUAAUACCGUAUACGCCCUCCGGGGGAAAGAUUUAUCGCUGUUGGAUGAGCCCGCGUCGGAUUAGCUUGUUGGUGGGGUAAAGGCCUACCAAGGCGACGAUCCGUAGCUGGUCUGAGAGGAUGAUCAGCCACACUGGGACUGAGACACGGCCCAGACUCCUACGGGAGGCAGCAGUGGGGAAUAUUGGACAAUGGGCGCAAGCCUGAUCCAGCCAUGCCGCGUGAGUGAAGAAGGCCUUAGGGUUGUAAAGCUCUUUCAGUGGGGAAGAUAAUGACGGUACCCACAGAAGAAGCCCCGGCUAACUCCGUGCCAGCAGCCGCGGUAAUACGGAGGGGGCUAGCGUUGUUCGGAAUUACUGGGCGUAAAGCGCGCGUA
rnacentral:rRNA from 1 species